GUUUGAAAGCCCAAGAAUUUGUUU
rnacentral:piRNA from 1 species